CGUGCAGGCGGCCUAUUAAGUCAGAUGUGAAAGCCCUCGGCUCAACCAAGGAACUGCAUUUGAAACUGGUAGGCUUGAGUACGGGAGAGGAGAGUGGAAUUCCCGGUGUAGAGGUGAAAUUCGUAGAUAUCGGGAAGAACACCGGUGGCGAAGGCGGCUCUCUGGACCGAUACUGACGCUGAGACGCGAAAGCGUGGGGAGCAAACA
rnacentral:rRNA from 1 species